AUGCCUCGCUCCCUCGCCGGCGACCUCACCGACCCGGAGAUGGCGCAGCCCUACAUGAAGAAGGACGACGACGACUCCGACAUCGAGUACUCGCCAUUUUUCGGGAUUGAGAAGGGGGCUGUUCUGCAGGAGGCACGUGCUUUCCAUGACCCCCAGCUUGAUGCCAGACGAUGCUCGCAAGUUAUCACCAAGCUAUUAUAUUUAAUUAAUCAAGGAGAGUCAUUUACAAAGGUUGAGGCCACAGAAGUUUUCUUUGCAGUUACGAAGCUAUUCCAGUCCAAUGAUGCUGGUCUCAGGAGGCUGGUGUAUUUGAUGAUAAAAGAGCUUUCUCCAUCAUCAGACGAGGUUUUCAUAGUCACAAGCUCAUUGAUGAAAGAUAUGAACAGUAAGACAGAUAUGUACCGUGCCAAUGCAAUUAGAGUUCUCUGUAGAAUAAUUGACGGCAACCUCCUUACUCAAAUCGAGAGAUACUUGAAGCAAGCUAUUGUAGACAAAAAUCCUGUGGUUGCUAGUGCUGCUCUUGUUAGUGGUAUCCACCUGCUUCAGGCAAAUCCAGAAAUUGUGAAAAGAUGGAGCAACGAAGUGCAGGAAGCUGUGCAAUCAAGAGCUGCACUUGUGCAAUUUCAUGGCCUUGCUCUUCUUCACCAGACCAGACAGAAUGACCGUUUGGCUAUUAGCAAGCUCGUCUCUAGUUUGACUAGGGGAUCAGUGCGCUCACCCCUUGCACAAUGUCUUCUGAUUCGUUACACGAGCCAGGUAAUACGUGAGUCAAGCAACACCCAAAGUGGUGAUCGCCCAUUUUUUGAUUAUCUGGAAUCCUGUCUCAGACAUAAAGCAGAAAUGGUGAUUUUAGAGGCUGCGAGGAAAAUAACAGAGAUGGAUGUGACAAGUCGUGAAUUAGCACCAGCGAUUACUGUGUUACAGUUAUUUUUGAGUUCAUCCAAACCUGUGCUUCGAUUUGCAGCUGUCCGAACACUCAAUAAGGUUGCUAUAACACGCCCUUUGGCAGUGACAAACUGCAAUGUUGACUUGGAGAGUCUGAUGUCAGACCAGAACAGGAGUAUAGCGACCCUGGCAAUCACCACACUUCUUAAAACUGGCAAUGAAUCAAGUGUGGAUCGCCUCAUGAAACAAAUUACCAGUUUCAUGUCUGACAUAUCAGAUGAAUUCAAGAUAGUUGUCAUUGAAGCUAUACGAUCUCUUUGCCUGAAGUUCCCACUGAAGUAUCGUUCGAUGAUGAUUUUCUUAAGUAACAGUUUGAGAGAAGAAGGGGGCUUUGAGUAUAAAAAGGCCAUAGUUGAUUCUAUAGUUACCCUGAUCGGCGUGAUACCAGACGCGAAAGAAAUUGGCCUUCUGCAUCUUUGCGAAUUCAUUGAAGACUGUGAAUUCACAUAUCUUUCUAGUCAGAUAUUGCACUUUUUGGGAAAUGAAGGGCCAAGAACAUCAGAUCCAAGCAGAUACAUACGGUACAUCUACAACCGUGUGAUAUUGGAAAAUCCCACUGUUCGUGCUAGUGCUGUCAGUACAUUGGCAAAGUUUGGUGCCUUAGUCGAUGAAUUGAAGCCUCGGAUAUUUGUUCUCCUGCGCCGGUGCCUGUUUGACACUGAUGAUGAGGUCCGCGACCGUGCUACACUUUACCUCCAAACUCUGAAUGGUGAAGUUGCUGUAGGUAACUCUGAGAAGGACGUGAAGGAAUUUCUAUUUGGAUCCUUUGAUGUGCCUCUUGCCAACUUGGAAGCAAGUCUAAGAACCUAUGAACCAUCUGAGGAGCCCUUCGAUAUUUCCUUGGUGUCAAGAGAAGCCAGAUCACAGCCACUUCACGAUAAAAAGGCCCCUGGAAAGAAGCCACCUGCUGGUGCUCCCGCCCCUGCGCCUGUUUCGGCUGUUGAUGCUUAUCAGAAGAUGCUUUCAUCUAUCGCUGAGUUCUCUGGGUUUGGAAGGCUCUUCAAGUCCUCAGAACCUGUGGAGCUGACAGAGGCAGAGACUGAAUAUGCAGUUAAUGUGGUUAAGCAUAUCUAUGAAAACCAUGUUGUAUUGCAGUACAACUGUACAAACACCAUACCUGAACAACUGCUAGAAGAUGUUACAGUAUAUGUUGAUGCCACGGAUGCUGAAGAGUUUUCAGAAGUUUGUUCAAAGCCUCUUAAAAGCUUGCCUUAUGAUUCACCUGGGCAAAUUUUUGUUGCUUUUGAAAAGCCAGAACAUGUUCCUGCAAUCGGGAAAUUUUCAAAUGUAUUGAAGUUCACUGUUAAAGAGGUUGACACAUCUUCAGGGGAAGCUGAUGAAGAUGGUGUGGAGGAUGAAUACCAGCUAGAAGACCUUGAAAUUGUUUCAGCUGAUUAUAUGCUGAGGGUCGCAGUUUCUAACUUUAGGAAUGCCUGGGAGAAUAUGGACCCAGAAAGUGAGCGUGUGGAUGAGUAUGGACUCGGGGCUAGAGAGAGCUUGGCUGAGGCUGUGAGUGCUGUCACUAGUAUCCUUGGCAUGCAACCGUGUGAGGGCACUGAGGUUGUACCAAGCAAUGCAAGAUCGCAUGUUUGCCUGCUUUCUGGAGUGUAUAUAGGGGGCGUCAAGGUUCUUGUCAGGUUAUCAUUCGGACUAAGCGGGCCCAAGGAAGUGGCGAUGAAGCUGGCGGUAAGGUCAGAUGACCCCGAAGUCAGCGACAAGAUCCAUGAGAUUGUUGCCAGUGGGUAA
rnacentral:rRNA from 1 species